rnacentral:rRNA from 1 species
CUGGCGGCACGCCUAACACAUGCAAGUCGAGCGCUCACUUCGGUGGGAGCGGCGGACGGGUUAGUAACGCGUGGGAACAUACCCUUUACUACGGAAUAGCCUUUGGAAACGAAGAGUAAUACCGUAUACGCCCUACGGGGGAAAGAUUUAUCGGUAAAGGAUUGGCCCGCGUUAGAUUAGAUAGUUGGUGGGGUAACGGCCUACCAAGUCUACGAUCUAUAGCUGGUUUGAGAGGAUGAUCAGCAACACUGGGACUGAGACACGGCCCAGACUCCUACGGGAGGCAGCAGUGGGGAAUCUUAGACAAUGGGGGAAACCCUGAUCUAGCGAUGCCGCGUGUGUGACGAAGGCCUUAGGGUCGUAAAGCACUUUCGCCAGAGAUGAUAAUGACAGUAUCUGGUAAAGAAACCCCGGCUAACUCCGUGCCAGCAGCCGCGGUAAUACGGAGGGGGUUAGCGUUGUUCGGAAUUACUGGGCGUAAAGCGUACGUAGGCGGAUUAGUAAGUUAGAGGUGAAAUCCCAGGGCUCAACCCUGGAACUGCCUUUAAUACUGCUAGUCUAGAGUUCGAGAGAGGUGAGUGGAAUUCCGAGUGUAGAGGUGAAAUUCGUAGAUAUUCGGAGGAACACCAGUGGCGAAGGCGGCUCACUGGCUCGAUACUGACGCUGAGGUGCGAAAGUGUGGGGAGCAAACAGGAUUAGAUACCCUGGUAGUCCACACCGUAAACGAUGAAUGCCAGUCGUCGGGUAGUAUACUAUUCGGUGACACACCUAACGGAUUAAGCAUUCCGCCUGGGGAGUACGGUCGCAAGAUUAAAACUCAAAGGAAUUGACGGG